rnacentral:rRNA from 1 species
UACGUAGGGCGCAAGCGUUAUCCGGAAUUAUUGGGCGUAAAGAGCUCGUAGGCGGUUUGUCGCGUCUGCCGUGAAAGUCCGGGGCUCAACUCCGGAUCUGCGGUGGGUACGGGGCAGACUAGAGUGAUGUAGGGGAGACUGGAAUUCCUGGUGUAGCGGUGAAAUGCGCAGAUAUCGAGAGGAACACCUGCGGCGAAGGCGGGUAGCUGGGCCGACACUGACGCUGAUGCGCGAAAGCGUGGGGAGCGAACGGG